ACCACAGGGAUUGCCCCAGUAGCGGCGAGUGAAGCGGCAAGAGCUCAGAUAUUGAAAUCGUGUUUCGGCACGAGUUGUAGAGUGUAGGCGGGAGUCUCUGUGGAGCGCGGUGUCCAAGUCCCUUGGAACAGGGUGCCUGAGAGGGUGAGAGCCCCGUAGGGUGCUGCGCGAAGCUUUUGAGGCCCUGCUGACGAGUCGAGUUGUUUGGGAAUGCAGCUCCAAGCGGGUGGUAAAUUCCAUCUAAGGCUAAAUAUUGGCGAGAGACCGAUAGCGAACAAGUACUGUGAAGGAAAGAUGAAAAGCACUUUGAAAAGAGAGUGAAACAGCACGUGAAAUUGUUGAAAGGGAAGGGUAUUGGGCUCGACAUGGGGGGUGCGCACCGCUGUCUCUUGUAGGCGGCGCUCUGGGCGCCCUCUGGGCCAGCAUCGGUUCCUGCUGCGGGAGAAGGGGCUCCGGAAAGUGGCUCUUCGGAGUGUUAUAGCCGGGGCCAGAUGCCGCGUGUGGGGACCGAGGACUGCGGCUUCUGUCUCGGGAUGCUGGCAUAACGGCGCAAUACCGCCCGUCUUGAAACACGGACC
rnacentral:rRNA from 1 species